rnacentral:lncRNA from 1 species
AUGAGUGAGGAGACAAAGCUAGGGAGCCAGGUGUGGUGGCAGCAGCCUGUCGCCCCAGCCACCCGGGACAGCAACAGCAGCAGAGAGAGAAGGGUGUGGUUUGAGCAGGAACACACGGCCCAGCUGCCUACCGCCUGUUGUGCAAGGGGACCCGUGCCAUGCGGGCUGUGGGGGCUUCCGCCCCUGCUGGGCAGCCCGGGUUUGUCCUCUAAGCUGGCAGGGAGCGUGGCAUUCGGAGCACGUGGGACCCGGGUGGACAUCACCAUCACCGGGGAGAGGGGGAGCGAAUGUCAGCGACCGACAGGAGACGCUGUCCAGGUGCUGAGGACGCAGGUGGCCUGGCCCAGCUGCAGUCCUCCGCAGGUGUUGAGGUGCAGUUCGGCUUGCUCAGCGCUGGGAGAAAGGGCUGUCAGCGAGAUUUACAGUCCAGUCUUCAGAGGGCUCACAGCGACCCUCAGAGAAGAUACCCAGACAACCCUGUCCUGUCGUUUUCCCUGGAAACGCAAGCAGCCACCAGUAGCUGCCCUAGAUUUGCAUCAAAGGGACACCUGUCCCUCGGGAGAGCCCCAGAGAUGGCGGCGCUGCUUUGCAGACAAAAAGCUGCUAAAUAAAUCUGCCUAUGGAGCUAUAGAGAGCCCAGCCUGAGCAAAGAGGCUCUCGUGCCCUUCGUCUCAAGGUAGAAAGCACCCUAGGAAGAUGACUUGUGUGCACCUCCCUCCUGUGCCCUGGCCACCUCAGCCCGGCGACCCUGCAGGUGACCAUACCCUUUGCGUGGCUUCAUCCUGCCGCCUGGUGGGAACAGGUCCCCAUUUGUCAAGCACAUGGCCUCAGCGUCCAGUUUUUAAAAGUUGGCAUGGUUUAGCGUGGCACUUUUUCUUCCCGGAGCACAUCAGAGUUAAUGUGCUACUUAAUUCUAUUAAAGGCCUCUGUCUUGAGUUAUAGCACAAAACAGAAGAUUCUAGGAGGACUUUAAGAUACUCAAUAAUGCACAGAGGGAUGAUCCCUCUCUUCUCAG